rnacentral:rRNA from 1 species
GGGUUGUGAGGUUAAGCGACUAAGCGUACACGGUGGAUGCCCUGGCAGUCAGAGGCGAUGAAGGACGUGCUAAUCUGCGAUAAGCGUCGGUAAGGUGAUAUGAACCGUUAUAACCGGCGAUUUCCGAAUGGGGAAACCCAGUGUGAUUCGUCACACUAUCAUUAACUGAAUCCAUAGGUUAAUGAGGCGAACCGGGGGAACUGAAACAUCUAAGUACCCCGAGGAAAAGAAAUCAACCGAGAUUCCCCCAGUAGCGGCGAGCGAACGGGGAGCAGCCCAGAGCCUGAAUCAGUGUGUGUGUUAGUGGAAGCGUCUGGAAAGGCGCGCGAUACAGGGUGACAGCCCCGUACACAAAAAUGCACAUACUGUGAGCUCGAUGAGUAGGGCGGGACACGUGGUAUCCUGUCUGAAUAUGGGGGGACCAUCCUCCAAGGCUAAAUACUCCUGACUGACCGAUAGUGAACCAGUACCGUGAGGGAAAGGCGAAAAGAACCCCGGCGAGGGGAGUGAAAAAGAACCUGAAACCGUGUACGUACAAGCAGUGGGAGCACGCUUAGGCGUGUGACUGCGUACCUUUUGUAUAAUGGGUCAGCGACUUAUAUUCUGUAGCAAGGUUAACCGAAUAGGGGAGCCGAAGGGAAACCGAGUCUUAACUGGGCGUUAAGUUGCAGGGUAUAGACCCGAAACCCGGUGAUCUAGCCAUGGGCAGGUUGAAGGUUGGGUAACACUAACUGGAGGACCGAACCGACUAAUGUUGAAAAAUUAGCGGAUGACUUGUGGCUGGGGGUGAAAGGCCAAUCAAACCGGGAGAUAGCUGGUUCUCCCCGAAAGCUAUUUAGGUAGCGCCUCGUGAAUUCAUCUCCGGGGGUAGAGCACUGUUUCGGCAAGGGGGUCAUCCCGACUUACCAACCCGAUGCAAACUGCGAAUACCGGAGAAUGUUAUCACGGGAGACACACGGCGGGUGCUAACGUCCGUCGUGAAGAGGGAAACAACCCAGACCGCCAGCUAAGGUCCCAAAGUCAUGGUUAAGUGGGAAACGAUGUGGGAAGGCCCAGACAGCCAGGAUGUUGGCUUAGAAGCAGCCAUCAUUUAAAGAAAGCGUAAUAGCUCACUGGUCGAGUCGGCCUGCGCGGAAGAUGUAACGGGGCUAAACCAUGCACCGAAGCUGCGGCAGCGACGCUGAUGCGUUGUUGGGUAGGGGAGCGUUCUGUAAGCCUGUGAAGGUGUGCUGUGAGGCAUGCUGGAGGUAUCAGAAGUGCGAAUGCUGACAUAAGUAACGAUAAAGCGGGUGAAAAGCCCGCUCGCCGGAAGACCAAGGGUUCCUGUCCAACGUUAAUCGGGGCAGGGUGAGUCGACCCCUAAGGCGAGGCCGAAAGGCGUAGUCGAUGGGAAACAGGUUAAUAUUCCUGUACUUGGUGUUACUGCGAAGGGGGGACGGAGAAGGCUAUGUUGGCCGGGCGACGGUUGUCCCGGUUUAAGCGUGUAGGCUGGUUUUCCAGGCAAAUCCGGAAAAUCAAGGCUGAGGCGUGAUGACGAGGCACUACGGUGCUGAAGCAACAAAUGCCCUGCUUCCAGGAAAAGCCUCUAAGCAUCAGGUAACAUCAAAUCGUACCCCAAACCGACACAGGUGGUCAGGUAGAGAAUACCAAGGCGCUUGAGAGAACUCGGGUGAAGGAACUAGGCAAAAUGGUGCCGUAACUUCGGGAGAAGGCACGCUGAUAUGUAGGUGAAGCGACUUGCUCGUGGAGCUGAAAUCAGUCGAAGAUACCAGCUGGCUGCAACUGUUUAUUAAAAACACAGCACUGUGCAAACACGAAAGUGGACGUAUACGGUGUGACGCCUGCCCGGUGCCGGAAGGUUAAUUGAUGGGGUCAGCGCAAGCGAAGCUCUUGAUCGAAGCCCCGGUAAACGGCGGCCGUAACUAUAACGGUCCUAAGGUAGCGAAAUUCCUUGUCGGGUAAGUUCCGACCUGCACGAAUGGCGUAAUGAUGGCCAGGCUGUCUCCACCCGAGACUCAGUGAAAUUGAACUCGCUGUGAAGAUGCAGUGUACCCGCGGCAAGACGGAAAGACCCCGUGAACCUUUACUAUAGCUUGACACUGAACAUUGAGCCUUGAUGUGUAGGAUAGGUGGGAGGCUUUGAAGUGUGGACGCCAGUCUGCAUGGAGCCGACCUUGAAAUACCACCCUUUAAUGUUUGAUGUUCUAACGUGGACCCGUAAUCCGGGUUGCGGACAGUGUCUGGUGGGUAGUUUGACUGGGGCGGUCUCCUCCUAAAGAGUAACGGAGGAGCACGAAGGUUGGCUAAUCCUGGUCGGACAUCAGGAGGUUAGUGCAAUGGCAUAAGCCAGCUUGACUGCGAGCGUGACGGCGCGAGCAGGUGCGAAAGCAGGUCAUAGUGAUCCGGUGGUUCUGAAUGGAAGGGCCAUCGCUCAACGGAUAAAAGGUACUCCGGGGAUAACAGGCUGAUACCGCCCAAGAGUUCAUAUCGACGGCGGUGUUUGGCACCUCGAUGUCGGCUCAUCACAUCCUGGGGCUGAAGUAGGUCCCAAGGGUAUGGCUGUUCGCCAUUUAAAGUGGUACGCGAGCUGGGUUUAGAACGUCGUGAGACAGUUCGGUCCCUAUCUGCCGUGGGCGCUGGAGAAUUGAGGGGGGCUGCUCCUAGUACGAGAGGACCGGAGUGGACGCAUCACUGGUGUUCGGGUUGUCAUGCCAAUGGCACUGCCCGGUAGCUAAAUGCGGAAGAGAUAAGUGCUGAAAGCAUCUAAGCACGAAACUUGCCCCGAGAUGAGUUCUCCCUGACUCCUUGAGAGUCCUGAAGGAACGUUGAAGACGACGACGUUGAUAGGCCGGGUGUGUAAGCGCAGCGAUGCGUUGAGCUAACCGGUACUAAUGAACCGUGAGGCUUAACCUUACAACGCCGAAG